rnacentral:tRNA from 1 species
UGUGGCUCAGUGGUAGAGUGCUUGCCUGGCAUGCAUGAGAGCCUGAGUUCAAUUCCCAGCA